CGCUCACUGUGAAGAUGGAAAAUUUUGAAGAGUCCUUUCCCCCCUCUCCCAACACUUUAGAAAACAUCAUAUAUCUAGUUAAGUUUAUUUUGAAUUGUGAAGUACAGAUAUAAAAUUUGUAUAUGUGAGUUUUGAUUAUUAACUUUCUAAAAAAGAGAGCUCAGUCGGUCCCGAAUUAUUUUAUAUUUGCCUGUUAAUUUUUUUAUUUUGAGCGAAUUUGAGUCGUGACAUGUCAAUGGAGAACAAAAACUGUAAUGUGAACACAAAAAGGGUCAGAUGUGUUCUGCGAGGUCCUGCAAACAUACUGGUAAAAUGAGAUGCUCAAGUUAGAUCAUCUGAUGUUGUUGUGUUGCUGCGCCAGUACCUGGUUGAGCUCCCAGGUGGCAGUAUUGUGCCUUAACGCUGACACCUGUCACACAAGAAGAUGAUGCAAAGGUGCAGCUACUCCGAGGAAAGCUGUGUUUGUCAGAGAGCUUCAAAGAAGACGGAGAAAGCCAGAGUCUUGUGCCCUGCGUUUAUCAGUAUCCUUAUGUUCGUUGGGUGAAAAAGAAAACCUCAAUAAACAGUAAAAAAUAAUUUAAUCAUGACAGCUCUAGUUAAUAACUAUUUAAUUAGUAAUCUUUGUAGUAAAGGUUUUUUAGUUUUUUUUUUUUUUACAUUUAAGUACAGUACAGUUAUGUAACUUUUGUUAUAACACAUUUUAAUUUAAUCUUUAAGUUUUUCAUUUACCUGAAU
rnacentral:lncRNA from 1 species